rnacentral:rRNA from 1 species
UACGUAGGGGGCGAGCGUUGUCCGGAUUUAUUGGGCGUAAAGAGCGUGUAGGCGGCCCGAUAAGUCCGCCGUGAAAGUCCAGGGCUCAACCCUGGAAUGCCGGUGGAAACUGUCGGGCUGGAGUCCGGAAGAGGCGAGUGGAAUUCCUGGUGUAGCGGUGAAAUGCGCAGAUAUCGGGAGGAACACCUAUGGCGAAGGCAGCUCGCUGGGACGUUACUGACGCUGAGACGCGAAAGCGUGGGGAGCAAACAGG